UAGCCUUUAGAAAUGAAGAAUAAUACCCCAUAGUAAGUAAUUUUCGCAUGGAAGAUACUUUAAAGUUUCGGCGGUAGAAGAUGAGUAUGCGUUCUAUUAGCUAGAUGGUAAGGUAACGGCUUACCAUGGCAACGAUAGAUAGGGGCCCUGAGAGGGGGAUCCCCCACACUGGUACUGAGACACGGACCAGACUCCUACGGGAGGCAGCAGUGAGGAAUAUUGGACAAUGGGCGCGAGCCUGAUCCAGCCAUGCCGCGUGCAGGAAGACUGCCCUAUGGGUUGUAAACUGCUUUUAUACAGGAAGAAACCACAGAACGUGUUCUGUGCUGACGGUACUGUAAGAAUAAGGAUCGGCUAACUCCGUGCCAGCAGCCGCGGUAAUACGGAGGAUCCAAGCGUUAUCCGGAAUCAUUGGGUUUAAAGGGUCCGUAGGUGGAUAAUUAAGUCAGAGGUGAAAUCCUGCAGCUCAACUGUAGAAUUGCCUUUGAAACUGGUUAUCUUGAAUUAUUGUGAAGUGGUUAGAAUAUGUAGUGUAGCGGUGAAAUGCAUAGAUAUUACAUAGAAUACCAAUUGCGAAGGCAGAUCACUAACAAUAUAUUGACACUGAUGGACGAAAGCGUGGGGGAGCGAACAGGAUUAGAUACCCUGGUAGUCCACGCCGUAAACGAUGGUC
rnacentral:rRNA from 1 species